GCUUAGCCCUAAACACAGAUAAUUACAUAAACAAAUUAUUUGCCAGAGUACUACCAGCAACAGCUUAAAACUACAAAGGAC
rnacentral:rRNA from 1 species